CUGGAGAGGUGGUCAGAACCAGGUUCAGAUGUAUGAAUAGGGAGACUUGUGAAGUCACAGACAGCUCAGUUUGCAUAUCUGAAACGCAAGUGGCUGGUGGGGCAUGGUGUGAAAAUGCCUUUAUUACAAGGAACUUAAGCUAAAACUAGGAGGCCACCACUUAACACUUUACUGGUAAACAGCUUUGUUAUGAACAUUCAUAAUGAUGCUGUGAGGGAACAAGGGUGCAUGGGCUCUCUCAGGGACACACUCUCUCUAACACAGAUUGUGAAGAUCAUCACAUCAGAUUCUCCACCAAACUGCUCUGAUGAGCAGUGUCAUCCCUGGACAGCUGGCAGGAUAUGUAGUUCUGAUAAUUUCCUGACCCAAGUCUAAGGAGUGUUCUUCUGUGGUUGUGACUUCACCCCCAUUGUGGAUCUGCAGCUUUAGUCAUAGAAUUUAUUUCACUUACUACUUUAACAUUUUCUAUGUUAUCUGCUGUGGCCAAAGUUAUCAUUUUAAAGACAAGUGUUUUACAGGCUAACUGUAUUACAUUGACUUCUGUUUUCCCUCUUUACUUCUUCUCUCAUCUCCAUCUAGAAUUUCAUAGAGUUCCCAUUUUCCUAUCAAAGUAGAAUGUCUUUAAUAACCACAUGACCCCUUCAAUCAUGAAAGAUGCAUCUGUACCAAAGCAUACAGAACUCGUAGCUGGACUUCAGCAAUAAAAACUCAAGAUAUAUUAUAGCA
rnacentral:lncRNA from 1 species